CCUACGGGAGGCAGCAGUAGGGAAUCUUCCGCAAUGGACGAAAGUCUGACGGAGCAACGCCGCGUGAGUGAAGAAGGUUUUCGGAUCGUAAAACUCUGUUGUCGGAGAAGAAUAAGUGGGAGAGUAACUGUUCCCACCUUGACAGUACCCGACCAGAAAGCCACGGCUAACUACGUGCCAGCAGCCGCGGUAAUA
rnacentral:rRNA from 1 species